UACGGAGGGGGCUAGCGUUAUUCGGAAUUACUGGGCGUAAAGCGCACGUAGGCGGACCAGAAAGUCAGAGGUGAAAUCCCAGGGCUCAACCUUGGAACUGCCUUUGAAACUCCUGGUCUUGAGUUCGAGAGAGGUGAGUGGAAUUCCGAGUGUAGAGGUGAAAUUCGUAGAUAUUCGGAGGAAUACCAGUGGCGAAGGCGGCUCACUGGCUCGAUACUGACGCUGAGGUGCGAAAGCGUGGGGAGCAAAC
rnacentral:rRNA from 1 species